rnacentral:rRNA from 1 species
UGGGGAAUUUUGGACAAUGGGCGAAAGCCUGAUCCAGCCAUGCCGCGUGAGUGAAGAAGGCCUUCGGGUUGUAAAGCUCUUUCGGACAGAAAGAAAUCGCAUGGACUAAUACUCUGUGUGGAUGACGGUACUGUAAGAAGAAGCACCGGCUAACUACGUGCCAGCAGCCGCGGUAAUACGUAGGGUGCGAGCGUUAAUCGGAAUUACUGGGCGUAAAGGGUGCGCAGGCGGUUAUAUAAGACAGAUGUGAAAUCCCCGGGCUCAACCUGGGAACUGCGUUUGUGACUGUAUGACUAGAGUACGGUAGAGAGGGGUGGAAUUCCUGGUGUAGCAGUGAAAUGCGUAGAUAUCAGGAGGAACAUCGAUGGCGAAGGCAGCCCCUUGGACCUGUACUGACGCUCAUGCACGAAAGCGUGGGGAGCAAACAGGAUUAGAUACCCCCGUAGUCC